AGAUGUAACGGGGCUAAACCAUGCACCGAAGCUGCGGCAGCGACACUAUGUGUUGUUGGGUAGGGGAGCGUUCUGUAAGCCUGCGAAGGUGACCUGUGAGGGUUGCUGGAGGUAUCAGAAGUGCGAAUGCUGACAUAAGUAACGAUAAAGCGGGUGAAAAGCCCGCUCGCCGGAAGACCAAGGGUUCCUGUCCAACGUUAAUCGGGGCAGGGUGAGUCGACCCCUAAGGCGAGGCCGAAAGGCGUAGUCGAUGGGAAACAGGUUAAUAUUCCUGUACUUGGUGUUACUGCGAAGGGGGGACGGAGAAGGCUAUGUUAGCCGGGCGACGGUUGUCCCGGUUUAAGCAUGUAGGCUGGUUAUCCAGGCAAAUCCGGAUAAUCAAGGCUGAGGUGUGAUGACGAGGCACUACGGUGCUGAAGUAACAAAUGCCCUGCUUCCAGGAAAAGCCUCUAAGCAUCAGGUAACAUCAAAUCGUACCCCAAACCGACACAGGUGGUCAGGUAGAGAAUACCAAGGCGCUUGAGAGAACUCGGGUGAAGGAACUAGGCAAAAUGGUGCCGUAACUUCGGGAGAAGGCACGCUGGUGUGUAGGUGAAGCCCCUGCGGGUGGAGCUGAGACCAGUCGAAGAUACCAGCUGGCUGCAACUGUUUAUUAAAAACACAGCACUGUGCAAACACGAAAGUGGACGUAUACGGUGUGACGC
rnacentral:rRNA from 1 species